GACGAACGCUGGCGGCGUGCCUAAUACAUGCAAGUGGGACGCAAGAGAACACACUGUGCUUGCACACCGUGUUUUCUUGAGUCGCGAACGGGUGAGUAACGCGUAGGUAACCUGCCUAUUAGCGGGGGAUAACUAUUGGAAACGAUAGCUAAUACCGCAUAAUAUUAAUUAUUGCAUGAUAAUUGAUUGAAAGAUGCAAGCGCAUCACUAGUAGAUGGACCUGCGUUGUAUUAGCUAGUUGGUAAGGUAAGAGCUUACCAAGGCGACGAUACAUAGCCGACCUGAGAGGGUGAUCGGCCACACUGGGACUGAGACACGGCCCAGACUCCUACGGGAGGCAGCAGUAGGGAAUCUUCGGCAAUGGACGAAAGCCUGACCGAGCAACGCCGCGUGAGUGAAGAAGGUUUUCGGAUCGUAAAGCUCUGUUGUAAGUCAAGAACGUGUGUGAGAGUGGAAAGUUCACACAGUGACGGAGCUACCAGAAAG
rnacentral:rRNA from 1 species